CUCUAUGUGUUGCUCUCUUCACAGGGUUUCCCGGGAUUUCCUGGAAUGCUGGGGCAGAAAGGUGAAAUGGGUCCAAAGGGUGAGCCUGGGAUAACAGGACCCAGAGGACCCAGAGGAAGACCAGGAAAACGAGGCAAGCUGGGGCAGAAGGGAGAGAGUGGAGUAAUGGGCCCACCAGGCAAGCCUGGGCCUUCUGGUCAACCUGGCCGUCCGGGUCCCCCAGGCCCCCCGGGCCCCCCAUCCGCAGGU
rnacentral:lncRNA from 1 species